UCCUGAACUGCCUGCAUGGUGACGUGUUUCUUGUCUGACUUCGAGACUGGUUAAUUGAAUAGCACUCAACUGAUUAGUAGAUCAUCAUGGCUGAUGAACAACAGCGACGACUUCAUCAUUUGUACACAUGCCCAGGGUGUGGUAUACAGAAGUUUACCCUCUUGAAAUUAGUUCAACACAUUGGUAUAGCACAUCAGCACGAGGCAAAUUUCACCAUAAUAUGUAGAUUUGGAAAAUGCCAUCUCCCAUUCCAGAACUAUCGGUCUUAUGUUACGCACCUAUAUAAAAAACACAUUGACUUAUUCAAACAAGACUCAUUCGAAAGGCCUGUUGAAGAAAAUAUGGUUCCUGCUAGUGAUACUGAUGAUAUUAAUAAUGUUAUGGAUACUGGUGAUGACGAUUUUCCAGUUGUUCGAGAGGAUACUUUUGAUCUUCAUGCCGCUCUUGAAGGAUUCAAGGAGCACGUAUGUUUGUUCAUCAUAAAGCUUCAAGAAAAGCAUGCUCUUCCUCGGAACACCCACAGAACUGUUAUGGAGGAGUUCAAAUUUUUGUUAAAAUUCUUCUCUGGAAAUUAUAGUAAGAUGAUUAAGUCUCACCUGACAAAUAAAGGUUACAACUUUGAGGAGGAUGAUAAACUCCUUGACCUACUGUCAGAUGAUAAUGUCUUCCUCAAGUCAUUGGAGUGUGUCACUUCAGACUAUGAAGUUAUUAAAUAUUUCACGGAUCACUUUAACCUUGUAAAACCUGUUGAGAUCACACUUGGCUCUGAUAACAAUGGUAAACCCCAAACUUAUCAGUAUGUUCCUAUCCUCGAUGUUCUUAAGAAUCUUCUUAACGAAGAAGACGUUUGGAGUGACUUCUGGAGUGGUGCUAAUUCUGUUAAUACUGAUCAAGACAAAUUGCUUGAUUAUGUGGAUGGUGAGUUGUGCAAGGAUCACAUUCUACUCAAGGAGAAGGAUUCAAUCAGACUCCAUUUGUAUAACGAUUAAUUCCAAAUUGUAAAUCCUCUUGGAUCACAGAAAAAAAUCCACAAAAUUAGUGCAUUUUACUUUGUCUUGGGUAAUCUGAACUCCAAGUAUAGGACCCAGCUAAGGCAUAUUAACUUACUAAUGUUGGUGCCUCAUCGCCUCAUUCAAAGUGGGCGUUACAGUUAUGGAGACGUAUUAAAGGUUCUGAUUGAUGAUUUGAAAAUUCUUGAAGUGGAAGGCAUUACUGUUGAACAAGGCAGCGUCAUUCAUCGACUUCAUGGUGGGGUGGCUACCAUAUCUUGUGAUAAUUUGUCUGCCCAUUCCUUAGGAGGCUUCAGCUGUUCGUUUUCAACUGGACGAAUUUGUCGAUUCUGUAUGGUUUUACAUGGCCAGUUAAAUAAGUUCCAUUGUGAGGAGAAGGUACGGUUGAGAACCUCUGAAAGUCUCUUGCGGCAGCAGAAGGAGGUCUUGAAGGAUCCUAAGAAUUCAAAGUUGUAUGGAGUGAAAGGCAAGUGUCCUUUCCAAGAGCUGGGCUACUUUGACACUCUAAUGUCGUUUCCGCCAGACAUUAUGCAUGACCUACUGGAAGGAGUAGUACCAUUAUUAUUGAAGCUACUUUUGCAGGAACUUGUGUCCUCCAAAAUUCUGAGACUGGAUGAACUUAAUUACUGCAUUGAUACAUUCCAAUAUGGCCCUUCAGAUAAACCAUGCAAGCCAGUUCAAAUACCAAAGACUGUUCUGAAGGACGGGACCAUCCCUGGGACGGCCUCUCAGAAGUGGUGCCUUUUCAGGCUGUUUCCAUAUUUUCUCGCUUCCACGAUUGGUCUGCCGCCUACAAGGAACCCACAUUGGCUGCUUUAUCUUGAGCUCCGAGAGAUUGUGGAGAUAGUGAUUGCCCCAGCUCUACGAAAGAGUUUGCUUGGUUACCUCAAAUUACUUAUAGAUGGAUUUCUUAAAAGGUAUAGCAAGCUUUACCCAAGAAACUUCACCCCAAAGGUGCAUUUCCUGAUGCACUACCCGCGGUUGAUUGCACUGUUUGGAAACCUUCGUUCACUCUGGGUGAUGCGUUUUGAGGGGAAGCACCGGUACUUCAAGAGAAUUGCUGGUGUAAUGUGCAAUUAUAGGAACCCACGCAAAACCCUUGCCAUGAGGCACCAGCUCUACCAAUCGUGGCAGCUUCACUCGAGAGAUUUUUUGGGAAAGAACUAUUUAUCAACUGCUGGAGUUUCGAACACUGAGUUGGGACAACUCCCCCUGUAGUGCGGAGGGAAAUUUUGCCACUUUUAACAUCAGCGGAUUUGAAGGAAUCAAUCAUGCGUGUCAAACAGAUUACCAUGGAUCACAACACUUAUUCAUCGGGGAAAUUUAUUGUCGUGGAUCUGCUCCAUGAGGAAAAUAUUCCACUGUUCAUGAAAGUUGUUUAUAUAUUGCAUUGUCGUGGGCAAUGGAUCAUUUGUGGCAAACUCUACAUGGCAGAUUCUUUUGACGAGCAUGUCCAUGGUUUUCGCAUCCAGGACUGCAAGUCUUGGCUUGCGAUCUGUCUGGGCCAAGAAAGAGACUGCCAUGGGCUUGAUGUAUAUAAGAACUCCGUUGAUGAUGAGUGUGUUACCUUGCGGUAUAGGCUAAUGUAGAUAGAACAGGUAAUGAUGUUGAUCGUCCAACUUUGGUGGGGAUGACUGCAGAUAUGUUCAAGGAGCUCAUCCCGAACAUGAGGAGGAGAAUUAUUUGCAUUGAAAAAAGGAGAGUCUUA